rnacentral:lncRNA from 1 species
UUUUUUUCUCCAGCUCCUUUAGGUGCAAGGUUAGCUUUUGUAUUUGAGUUCUUUCCAGUUUUUGGAUGGAUGCUUGUAUUGCGAUGUAUUUCCCCCUCAGGACUGCUUUUGCUGUAUCCCAAAGAUUUUGAACAGUUGUACCUUCAUUCUUAUUAGUUUCCAUGAAUCUUUUUAAUUCUUCCCUAAUUUCCUGGUUGACCCUUUCAUCUUUUAGCAGGAUGGUCCUUAACCUCCACGUGUUUGAAAUCUUUCCAAAUUUCUUCUUGUGAUUUAGUUCUAAUUUCAAAGCAUUGUGGUCUGAAAAUAUGCAGGGGACGAUCCCAAUCUUUUGGUAUCGGUUCAGACCUGAUUUUGUGACCCAGUAUGUGGUCUAUUCUGCAGAAGGUUCCAUGUGCACUUGAGAAGAAUGUGUAUUCAGUUGUGUUUAGAUCUAAAGUUCUGUAAAUAUCUUGAAAUCCAUCUGAUCCAGUGUAUCAUUUAAAGCUCUUGUUUCUUUGGAGAUGUUGUGCUUAGGUCUGUCUAUUGUAGGAAGUGCUACAUUGAAGUCACCAAGCAUAAGUGUAUUAUUAUCUAAGUAUGUCUUAACUUUGGUUAUUAAUUGAUUGGUAUACUUGGCAGCUCCCAAAUUUGGGCAUAAAUAUGCAUGAUUGUUAGGUCUUCUUGUCGGAUAGACCCUUUAAGUAUGAUAUAGUAUUCCUCUUCAUCUCUUAUUACACUCUUUGGGAUAAACUUUAAUUUAUCUGAUAUAAGGAUAGCUACCCCUGCUUUCUUUGAGGACCAUUUGAAUGGUAAAUGGUUCUCCAACCUUUUAUUUUCAGGCUAUUGGUGUCCUUAGGUCUAAAAUGAGUCUCUUGUAGACAGCAAAUAGGUGGGUCUUGCUUCUGUAUCCAGUCGGAAACCCUGCCUGCGCCUUUUGAUGGGGUCAUUAAGCCCAUUCACGUUCAGAGUUACUAUUGAAAGAUAUGAAUUUAGUGUCAUCAUGAUACCUAUUCAGUCCCUGUUUUUGUGGAUUGUUUCCUUGGACUUCCUCUUUCUUUUACGGAGUCUCCCUUGAUAUUUCUUGCAGAGCUGGUUUGGUGGUUACAUAUUCUCUGUUUCUGCCUAUCUUGGAAGCUCUUUAUCUCUCCUUCUAUUCUGAAUGAGAGCCUUGCUGGAUAAAGUAUUCUUGGCUGCAGGUUCUUCUCAUUUAGGACCCUGAAUAUAUCCUGCCAGCCCUUUCUGGCCUGCCAAGUCUCUGUGGACAGGUCUGCUGUUAUCCUAAUGCUUCUCCCCAUAAAAGUUAGGGAUUUCUUGUCUCUUGCUGCUUUAAGGAUCUUCUCUUUAUCUUUGGAAUUUGCAAGUUUCACUAUUAAAUGUUGAGGUAUUCAGCGGUUUUUAUUGAUUUUAGGGGCGGAAAUCUCUCUAUCUCUUGGAUCUGAAUGCCUGUUUCCCUUCCCAAGUUAGGGAAGGUCUCAGCUAUGAUUUGUUCAAAUAUACGUUCUGUACCUCUGUCCCUUUCGGCGCCCUCGGGAACCCCAAUUAAACGUAGAUUUUUCCUUCUGAGGUUGUCAUUUAUUUCCCUUAACCUAUCCUCAUGAUCUUUAAAUUGUUUUUCUCUUUUUUCCUCAGUUUCCCUCCUUGACAUCAACUUGUGUUCUAUGUCACUCACUCGUUCUUCUACCUUGUUAACCCUCAUCAUUAGGACCUGCAGUUUGGAUUGCAUCUCAUUUAAUUGAUUUUUAAUUUCAGUCUGAUUAGAUCUGAAUUCUGCAGUCAUGAAGUCUCUUGAAUCCUUUCUACUUUUUUCUAGAGCCACCAGUAGCUUUAUAAUUGUGCUUCUGAAUUGGCCUUCUGACACUAAAUUGUAAUCCAAAUUUUGUAACUCUGUGGGAGAGAGGACUGAUUCUUUGAGGUGAGUUUUUCCUUGUAGUCAUUUUGCUCAGUGCAGAGUGGUCAAAAACAAGUUGUACUGGAAAAAGGAGAAAAAGAGAGAAGAGAAAAAAGGAAAAAAAAAGAAGAAGAAGAAGAAAAGAAAUAAAUGGGGCCGUUAAGCAAACAGAAAACAAAAAAUAAGGGAGAGUAGCCUCUGUUUCUAUAUACUGUAAAUUCCUCAACUUCCCCUGGAACUUUCCAGUGCCUCUUGGCAAUAACUUGCUUUUCCCCUGUCCUUCUAGCUGGUCUUCUGGGUGAGGUGCCUGCUGUGCUGAUUCUCAGGUGUGUGCACCUGGGGGAGCUGCUCAGCCCCCUUCCUGGUGCACAGCUCAAUAGAAGUUGUUUAUCCUGUGAGGCCACUUUGAGGCUCAGUGGGAGUUUACCUUGUGAGACCCCAGGAGGAGCAACAACAGUGGCGGCGCCCAGCUCUCCAGCCCUGGAGUCAGCUCCCGCAGUAACUACCGCAGUCUCCCAGUCCACAGGGGCCUGGAUGCUCCGCGGGUGGGGGGCGCCGAUGUGCACAGCUCGGGGCGCCCAGCGGCAGGAGCGUCCUUGCUGUCCUGUGUCCUACCGGCUUUUGCCUGUCCUGGGGAAGUGCUGGAUCCUGGCCUUGUUCCUCGGCGCCCUGGGCUCUGGGGACUGCACCGCUGGAAUCGCGCUCCCAGGGCCACGGAGCACCCUCCACUCGGAGCCUCUGCCCGAGCCGCCUCCAAGCUGCUCCUGGGGCCGCUGUGCACGUGCUGCAGCCCUUUAGGGAGCUCGGCCGCGGUGUGUGGUGCUCUCUCCCCCGGGGUGCAGGCCCACUGUUAGUGUCCCAGGGAGCCCGAGGGCAUCCCCGCCCCUCCUGGGAUCCUGCUCCAACUCCCUGCGAGUGCCUUUCUGUCUGGGAAGAUUAGUGAAGCUCCUGCUUCUCCCGGUCGGUGCUUUCCUGUCCUGGGGGCACUUGCCCUGGCCUUAGCCCGGCUCCUCGUGGGGCCCCUCCUCCUUGACAGCUUAUUUAUUUAUUUAUUUUUCCCAUCUUCCUACCUUGAUAGAAGCGUGAACUCUUCUCACUAUAGCAUUCCAGCUGGUCUCUCUUUAAGUCUCAUACCGAAUUCGUAGGUUUUCAGGAUGACUUGAAAGUUAUCUAGGUAAUUUGGUGGGGUCAGGUGAUUUGGGGACCCUACUCUUCCACCAUCUUGCCCUCUCCCUUCUGUUUUGUUUUUGCUUUUCUCCUUCCCCUCCUCCUCCUUCUUUCUUUCUUUCUUUCUUUCUUUCUUUCUUUCUUUCUUUCUUUCUUUCUUUCUUUCUUUCUUUUCUUCUUCUUCUUCUUCUUCUUCUUCUUCUUCUUCUUCUUCUUCUUCUUCUUUUCUUCUUCUUUCUUUCUUUUCUUCUUCUUUUAGAGUAGUUUUAUAGUCACAGCAAAAUUGAUCAGAAAGUACAGAGAUUUAUCGGAUAAACUAACUUGAAAUAAAUGGCUAUAAAUUAUAAACUUUGUGUUUUCUCCAUUCACAAUAACAUACCAAACUAUUUCCCAAGAUAUCAUCCAGAUGACGGAUUCGUUGUAUGUGGGCUUUAAAUUACAAUCAUAAGAAUAUGCCGUUCUGGGGGCACCUGGUGGCUCAUUUGGUUGAGUGUCUGCCUUGAGCUCAGGUCAUGAUCCCAGGGUCCUGGGAUGGAGCCCCAAGUGGGACUUCCCUCUCAGUGAGGAGCCUGCGUCUCUCUCAACCUCUGC